AGUUGGACUUCACGUCUAUCAACACAGCAUCACUUUGAACAGCCAGCCACGGCGAGUCUGCACGUGAGCAACACCUGCAUGUGUGCACAGCUGUAGGGUCCAGAUGAGAUGGCCUGAGUAACUCAAAUCUGGGACUGCAGCUACAGUAACGGGUUAAGAAGAAGACGAAUCGCUGGAGCCGGCAUGUUGUCCAGAGCUGAUUGUCAAAAAUGAGUCUGAAGAGAGUUUAGAUCAACCACACCCACACAGCAUCCAUUACUGCACCCAAAACGACCCAUCCAUCUCUGUCAGCUUAUCUCAUUUUCCUACACUUCAACCCCCCACCCACCACCUCCUUACUGUCAGGACCCAGCUCAAACAAACACCAGUGAUCCAGGCAGCAGUGAAAAGAACAAGGGUGACAACACAAGCUGUCUCUGAGCACAGGAGGGACUCUGACUCACCGCGGGGCUUGACAGACCGACAGCCGCCUUUAACUCGCACACAUGGACCGUUGAUGACGGAAGAUGGCAGCGAGACUGGCAGGUGUCACCACGUCCAGUCGACCUCCUUCUGUCCCCGCAGCAGCGGCCGUGGCUCGGACAGGUUAAAGUUGGUCUGCCGGCAUCCAUUGCAGCAUCUGCAGCAGCUGGAAGAGCGUGGCAGGGAGCAGUAUGCAGGAAACCGAUCUACCGGCCACAAAUGCCUUCAAAGAGUGCAAGUUCUACUGCACCAAUGGAAACUGCUUACGUCUGGGCUCGCUGAUCUGCAACCAGCUGAAUAACUGUGGGGACAACAGUGAUGAGGAGAACUGCCCUGUGGUCACCCAGCAUCCUCCACCAGGCAUCUUCAGCUGUAAGUGGAGCAGCUUGCUGCUGCUGCUGCUGCUGCUGCUGCUGCUGC